rnacentral:ribozyme from 1 species
ACUGUUCAUAUGAGAAACCUCCACGAGGUGAACAGUGGGCAACGAAUUCUAUUCGGCUAAUUCUCUU